GUGAGUGUGAGUGUAGAUGUUUGAUCACAUGCAUGCACAAUUGUACAUGUAGAAGUCAGCACUCAAUCUUGGGUGCCAUCCCUCUGGUACAGUUCACCUUUUUAAGACAAUGUCUCCUACUGGUCUGGAACUCAAUAGGCUAUCUCAACUAGUCAGCAAGCCCAGGGAUUUACCUGUCUCUAUCUCCCUAGAUCUGUGACUGCAAGCAUGUGCUACGACAGGCUAACAUUUGUAAACAAAAUGUUAGUUCUGGGGAUCAAACUCAUGUUCUCUUCGUUUAUAGCAUAUAGAAAAACAGACUAGGGGUAAUUCACCCAGUAAUUUGCUAAAACUGAUUUUAAAAAUUCAUAGGAGUUGCAUUUCCCCAAUGACUAAGGAUAUUGAACCUUUCUUUAGGUGCUUCUUGGCCAUUCGAGAUUCCUCAGAUUCAGCCUAUCUGGUUCUAUGUGGAGGUCCUUGAUUCACUUAGUCUUGAGCUUUGUACAAGAAGAUAAAAAUGAAUCAAUUUGCAUUCUUCUACAUGCAAACCAUCAGUUAGACCAGCACCAUCGAUUGAAGAUACUUUCUUUUCCAUUGUAUAUUUUUGGCUUUGUCAAAGAUCAAGGGUCUAUAAGUGUGUAGCUUUAUUUCUUGUUCUUCACUUUUAUUCCUUUGAUUGACCUGUCUGUCUCUGUACCAAUAUCACUAUUUUAUCACUAUUGCUAUGUAGUACAGCUUGAGGUCAGGGAUAAUGCUUCCCCCAGAAGUUCUUUUAUUGUUGAGAAUUGGUUUUGCUAUCCUAGAUUUUUCUUAUUUCAUAUGAAGUUGAGAAUUGUUCUAUCUCUGUGAAGAAUUUGAGUUGGAAUUUUGGUGGGGAUGGCAUUGAAUCCACCAGUCACAAAGACACAUGAUUCAUAGUGGUCUUGUUUGUGAUAGCCAGAAGCUAGACUAUCCCAGAUAUCCAUCAGUGGAAGAAUGGAUACAGAAAAUGUGGUACAUGUACAUAGUGGAAUACUACCCAGUAUUAAAAACUAGGACAUCAUGAAAUUUGCAGGCAAAUGGAUGGAACUAGAAAAUAUCAUCCUGAGUGGGGUAACCCAGACCAAAAAGGACACACAUACAAAUACAGGGACAAAAAUUAGAGCAGAACCUGAAGCACCUGACUAAGAGAGAUGCAGAUACUCACAACCAACCAUUGGAAUGAGCCUGGGGACCCCAGUUGAAGAAUUAGUGGAGGACUGAAGGAGCUUAAGGGGAUUUCCACUCCAUAGGAAGAACAACAGUAUCAACUAACUAGCCCCCCUCCUCAGACCUGCCAGGGACUAAGCCACCAACCAAAGCAUACAUGGGCUGGCUCUUGGCUCCUGCUACAUAUGUAGCAGAAGACUGCCUUUUCUGGACACAGUGGGAGGGAAUAUGCUUGCCCCUGUGGAGGUUUGAUGUCCCAGAGAAGGGGGAUGCUAGAGGGGUGAGGU
ensembl:lncRNA